UACGUAGGUGGCAAGCGUUGUUCGGAAUUACUGGGCGUAAAGCGCGUGUAGGCGGCUCUUCAAGUCAGACGUGAAAGCCCCGGGCUUAACUCGGGAACUGCGUUUGAUACUGUCGAGCUAGAGUGUGGAAGGGGCGAUUGGAAUUCCGUGUGUAGCGGUGAAAUGCGUAGAUAUACGGAGGAACACCGGUGGCGAAGGCGGGUCUCUGGGCCGAUACUGACGCUGAGACGCGAAAGCGUGGGGAGCGAACAGG
rnacentral:rRNA from 1 species